rnacentral:rRNA from 1 species
GAACGGGGGCUAGCGUUGCUCGGAAUUACUGGGCGUAAAGGGCGCGUAGGCGGACAGUUAAGGUUCGGGGGGGGGGGUGAAAGACCCCGGGGGGCUCAACCUCGGGAAUUGCCUUCAAUACUGGCUGUCUUGAGUACGGGAGAGGUGAGUGGAACUCCGAGUGUAGAGGUGAAAUUCGUAGAUAUUCGGAAGAACACCAGUGGCGAAGGCGACUCACUGGCCCGUUACUGACGCUGAGGCGCGAAAGCGUGGGGAGCAAACAGGAUUAGAUACCCUGGUAGUCCACGCCGUAAACGAUGAGUGCUAGUUGUCGGCAUGCAUGCAUGUCGGUGACGCAGCUAACGCAUUAAGCACUCCGCCUGGGGAGUACGGUCGCAAGAUUA